rfam:Triticum aestivum genome assembly, contig: Triticum_aestivum_CS42_TGACv1_scaffold_306336_4AS
CAACUACUCCCUCUAUCCCAAAUUUCUUGUCUUAGAUUUGUCUAGAUACGGAUGUAUCUAAUAGUAAAAUGUGACUUGAUACAUCUGUAUCUAGACAAAUCUAAGACAAGAAUUUUGGGACGGAGGGAGUACUUU